GGGUAGAUGGCGAAAUUGGUAGACGCAUCACACUCAAAAUGUGACAAUUUAUAUUGUAAGGGUUCGAUUCCCUUUCUGCCUA
rnacentral:tRNA from 1 species